UCCCAGGUGGCUCAGAUGGUAAAGAAUCUGCCUGCAACGCAGGAGACCCAGGUUCAUUCCCUGGGUCGGGAA
rnacentral:tRNA from 1 species